AAUUGCCAUUGAGACAGAGCUGUCCACCAUCAACAAUCAUCAAUAUUUAUGAAGAAUGUCAGCUGUUCAUACUUCAGUAUAAAUGAAGGCAUCUUUGUAAUGACCUGCCUGGUGUUUUAGAAUCUUCUUAUCUUCUCCACUGACCCUGACAUGGGGCAAAGAGGAGGGAAUUUAAAAAGUCCUUGCUAACUUGGAUGAGCGCUUGGUCAGUAGAUAACGUCUCUAUCUAGGUGUCAGCACUCCUGGUAUAUUCUGCUCCUCUUUGGACAUAUCAACAGAAAGAAACCUAGAGGUUAACUUGAUCAAGAACCUCAAUGAGUGAUGAUAACAUUUCCUGUGAAGUACAGAGGGUUGCUGUGGGGAGAGUCCCCUUAGAAGGAGGUCAUCAACUAAACGUUUCCUUUAUGGAAGGCUGGCCAUUUUCUACCAGUUCUCCCAGACACUUCUAAUUCUUCCUGUUGCUGCCUAUCUUCAACAGAAAAGCAAUUGAUCAUGGAAGCAAGCAGGUGGG